UACGGAGGGUGCAAGCGUUAAUCGGAAUUACUGGGCGUAAAGCGUGCGUAGGCGGUUAUUUAAGUCAGAUGUGAAAGCCCCGGGCUUAACCUGGGAACUGCAUUUGAUACUGGGUAACUAGAGUUGAGUAGAGGAGAGGGGAAUUUCAGGUGUAGCGGUGAAAUGCGUAGAGAUCUGAAGGAACACCAGUGGCGAAGGCGCCUCUCUGGACUCAAACUGACGCUGAGGUACGAAAGCGUGGGUAGCAAAC
rnacentral:rRNA from 1 species